rnacentral:lncRNA from 1 species
GGCGUCUGGACACCCUUCAUCUUUUAGCCGUUGCCCUGUUCUUGGUGAACUGCUUGUUAGGACCAAAAGUGGCCCACCCCUUUCUCUGGGACAGUGCAGAGCACCGGGGCCAGAGGCUCAAAGCACCUCCAAGCUGAGAUCAGAGACUUUGGAUAUCGUUGAUCCAGAGGCUUCCAAACUUUUCCUGGUGAUUGAAUUCUUACCAUGAAAUCCAGUGAGGAGCUCCAAUGCCUCAAGCAGAUGGAAGAGGAACUGCUCUUCUUGAAGGCAGGGCAGGGCUCUCAGAGGGCAAGACUCACCCCACCCCUGCCACGGGCUCUCCAGGGUAACUUUGGAGCCCCAGCACUCUGUGGAAUAUGGUUCGCAGAACACUUGCAUCCUGCUGUUGGGAUGCCCCCAAACUAUAAUAGCAGCAUGCUCAGUCUUUCACCAGAAAGAACCAUCUUAUCUGGAGGAUGGUCAGGAAAACAAACUCAACAGCCAGUGCCUCCCCUCAGAACUCUGCUCCUGAGGUCUCCUUUCAGUCUGCAUAAGUCCUCCCAACCUGGGAGCCCCAAAGCUUCUCAGCGGAUCCAUCCCCUCUUCCAUUCUAUCCCAAGGUCUCAGCUGCAUUCUGUUCUGCUUGGUCUUCCUCUCCUCUUCAUACAGACUAGACCUUCACCCCCUGCCCAGUAUGGCGCGCAAAUGCCAUUGAGAUACAUUUGUUUUGGUCCCAAUAUCUUUUGGGGCUCCAAAAAGCCCCAGAAAGAGUAAUGCCUUCAGCCAUGGCCCAUGUGAUGACUUUUCCCAGAGACAGCCCCAUGGGUCAGUGAUCGCCGGUGGGAGGUCUCCCCAGCCUCCCUUCAAGCCUUCAAGUCUGUGUAGAGGCGCCUUCUCUUCUCUGGGCAUUCCCCGCUUUGUUGCAGAGAAAUUAUUUUCUACUCAGCGGCUUUCAGGUAGAGAGAGAAAGUGCAUGCGGUAUGAAGGAUGUGAAGAUGGAGGGCUUGACGUCGUGGGUCAUGUUUUGUGGUUAAUUCCCCCACAUAACAAAACAGUGAGCAAAUGUUUAUAAACAGGAACUCAGUGUUUCAGUGAUGAAAGCCUCUGGCCUCGCCACACUGAUUGCUGGUGUGCGCGCACACACACACUCACACACCCUGUUUUUCUUACACACACACAGCUUCAUGGAGCAGAGAGCUGGAAAGGGUGUCCAGAAUGGUGGAUCAGGCUUAUUAUUAUUACUUUUUUUAUCUCCACCAAACUCUCUCCUUAAGCCCCAGCAGCCCAACCCCCCCCCGCACCAGACAGCAUAUCGAAGGAGUAAGCUGCAGGUCAGCCUAUAUUUUAGGCAGAAAAUUAGGCAACCUUGGGAGAGACCGGUUUCCAGCAGACACGCACGGACGCGAUGGUGAGGUUGGGCUGAGACGGUCCUUCCUGGAUGCAGUCACCCUCCCCAUCCCGAGUUUUACUCCCUGGGGGGAUUGUGGUGGGUGCCUGGCCUCCUCUCCCACCAGCGCACUGCCCCAAGCUUGCCUAGGUAGUAUCAGCACUGGGGUGAGGGAUGCAAUGCGGGUUUAUAGUUGGCUGUGGGGACUUCUGAUUUCUCCACCCCAUAGAUGAUAAACGACCGCGGGGCUUCCUCUCCCAGGUCUUUCCUCACUCUCCUUCGUCUUUCCCUCUUUCUCCAUGGGAAAGGUAGAAUGAGACUUGCCACCAGGGACAUCCAGGCACAUUCCUCUUCCCAAUCAGCCUCUACCCAUUCUCUUUCUGUCUCGUGUGUAUCAGUGGCAUUUUCUUGUGUAGCUUCCCAGAUUUGCAAACCCGCUCCACAUCCUGGACGCAGACCCCCUUCGCUGGCUCUAUGAAGGCUUCACGUUCCUGGGGCAUUCGAGACUUGACUUUCCAGAGCAACUUUGGAUCCACCCUGUUACCCUUUUUUUUGUUUUGUUUUGUUUUGAGAGGGAGUCUCGCUGUGUUGUCCAGGCUGGAGUGCAGUGGUGUGAUCUCGGCUUACUGCAACCUCCGCCUACUGGGUUCAAGUGAUUCUCUUGCCUCAAUCUCCCCAGUACCUGGGAUUACAGGUAGACACCAUCACGCCUGGCUAAUUUUUGUAUUUUUAGUAAAGACAGGGUUUCAUCAUGUUGGCCUGGCUGGUCUCAAACUCCUGACCUCAGGCGAUCCGCCCGCCUCAGCCUCCCAAAGUUCUGGGAUUACAAGUGUGAACCACCGUGCCCAACCUCCCCUCGUUUUUGACCUUUGUCCCCAAAUGUCUUUCAUCCAGUUACUAGGACUUGUAGCCUUUUUGCAAAUAGGUAUCUGUAAGCAUAGAAGAAUAGGGUGAUUUGUGAAGUGACCCUUAGUGGCAUCUGUGGCGGUCCUACUAAUCAGAUUUGCAGAAGAAACACGGAAACAAGGAAACUCCUCUCUUAUAUUAAAAUAAAUAAGGUUUUUAAUUUCAAAAAAAAAAAAAAAAAA